UUCCUUGCUUUGUGGUCACACCUGUCCCUGCUCUGCUCCUCGUGGCCCUCCCUGUGAUGUUGGAUUUUAUGUUUUGGACUUUGAAGUUAGUUUUCAGUCUUUUGAUUUAUUUUUGUCUGCACCUGUUGGAUCUUCUCUCUUGUGGAUAGCAUUUCCUCAUAAAGUCUACAGAGCUGUUUGGUCUGAAAGCACCUGAAGGCUGCAGAGUGAUGCUGCCCCCAGAGACGAGGUGGAUGUCAUGCAGCGCCUCAGCGUCUUCAAUCAGAAGUGUCAAACAGCCGAGCCAGCACUUUGAGACUGUAACUCCAAAAAGGAGGGCACAAGUUGACCACACAAACAAGCUCUCUCCAUGCAUCGUGCUU